CCUACGGGGCGCUGCAGUGGGGAAUAUUGGACAAUGGGCGAAAGCCUGAUCCAGCCAUGCCGCGUGUGUGAAGAAGGCCUUCGGGUUGUAAAGCACUUUCAGUGGGGAAGAAAGCCUUGGGGCUAAUACCCUCGAGGAAGGACAUCACCCACAGAAGAAGCACCGGCUAACUCCGUGCCAGCAGCCGCGGUAAUACGGAGGGUGCGAGCGUUAAUCGGAAUUACUGGGCGUAAAGCGCGCGUAGGCGGUCUGAUAAGCCGGUUGUGAAAGCCCCGGGCUCAACCUGGGAACGGCAUCCGGAACUGGCAGGCUAGAGUGCAGGAGAGGAAGGUAGAAUUCCCGGUGUAGCGGUGAAAUGCGUAGAGAUCGGGAGGAAUACCAGUGGCGAAGGCGGCCUUCUGGACUGACACUGACGCUGAGGUGCGAAAGCGUGGGUAGCAAACAGGAUUAGAUACCCGAGUAGUC
rnacentral:rRNA from 1 species